GCCAAGUUGUUGACAAUUUGCUUCCACGGUGAAAUUGUUCUCUCUUUGUCCUUAUUGGUGUCGCAGAGGAAAAGAAAGUAUUUCAACGGAGUGCAUGGGACGUGAUGCAGCUCAACACAGAUUGUAAUGGAGGACGAUGCUAAGGAGAGGAUGAUGGAACAUGCUGACAGUCACGGUGUGCGGCCUCACCAUGGAAAAUUACAU